CAGUAGCCACGGCAAUACAGAGGGUGCGAGCGUUAAUCGGAUUUACUGGGCGUAAAGCGUGCGUAGGCGGCUUCUUAAGUCGGAUGUGAAAUCCCUGAGCUUAACUUAGGAAUUGCAUUCGAUACUGGGAAGCUAGAGUAUGGGAGAGGAUGGUAGAAUUCCAGGUGUAGCGGUGAAAUGCGUAGAGAUCUGGAGGAAUACCGAUGGCGAAGGCAGCCAUCUGGCCUAAUACUGACGCUGAGGUACGAAAGCAUGGGGAGCAAACAGGAUUAGAUACCCGCGUAGUCCCUGUCUCUUAUAC
rnacentral:rRNA from 1 species